UACGUAGGUGACAAGCGUUGUCCGGAUUUACUGGGCGUAAAGAGCGCGCAGGCGGUCGUUCAAGUCGAGUGUGAAAGCCCCCGGCUCAACUGGGGAGGGUCAUUCGAUACUGAUCGACUCGAAGGCAGGAGAGGGUAGUGGAAUUCCCGGUGUAGUGGUGAAAUGCGUAGAUAUCGGGAGGAACACCAGUGGCGAAGGCGGGAUCCUGGGCCAGUACUGACGCUGAGGGGCGAAAGCGUGGGGAGCAAACAGG
rnacentral:rRNA from 1 species